UAUCUCUGUAGAGUCUGCAUAUCAAUAAGCGGAGGAAAAGAAACUAACUAGGAUUCCCUCAGUAACGGCGAGUGAAGCGGGAAGAGCUCAAAUUUGAAAUCUUCAAGGUUUUACCUUGACGAAUUGUAGUUUAAAGAAGUGUUUUCUGUUGGUGUUUUGGUAAAAGUUCUUUGGAAUAGGACAUCAUAGAGGGUGAGAAUCCCGUAUUUGACCAUUACUUUCCAGCGUUGUGAUACACUUUCAAAGAGUCGGAUUGUUUGGGAAUGCAGUCCAAAAUGGGUGGUAAAUUUCAUCUAAAGCUAAAUACUGGCGAGAGACCGAUAGCGAACAAGUACCGUGAGGGAAAGAUGAAAAGAACUUUGAAAAGAGAGUUAAACAGUACGUGAAAUUGUCAAAAGGGAAGCGUUUGACACCAGUGUUGUUUUCUCGAAAAUCAAUUAAAAAGGACUGGAUUUUGUAUUGUAAUUGACCUUUAUCAGCUUUACUGCUACUCUUUUCCUUGCUCUUUUUAAUGCACUUUUCGUUUAACAAGUCAACAUCAAUUUCUUUUGUUGUAAAAGAGUCAUUGGAAGGUGGCUUUCACUUUCGGAUGAAAGUGUCUAUAGCCUUUGGCCUCUGCAAUCGGAGAGAUUGAGGUCUGCAGCGUAGAUCCUUCGGGGUUAGAUACAUUUGUGCUAAGUCAUAGCCUUUCAUAGACAACUUGUUGACUAUGAUCAGUCAUGUAGCUUACUCGCUUAUGCUAUUUUACCUACGCUUAGGAUGUUGAGUCAUCACACAUCUCU
rnacentral:rRNA from 1 species